rnacentral:miRNA from 1 species
UAUGCAUAUUGUAUUUUUAGGUCC